UACGUAGGGUGCGAGCGUUGCCCGGAUUUAUUGGGCGUAAAGGGCGCGUAGGCGGCCACGCACGUCCGUUGUGAAAUCGCCCGGCUCAACCGGGGAACGGGCGCCGAUACGACCGCCCUCGAGGGACGUAGGGGGACCUGGAACUUCCGGUGGAGCGGUGAAAUGCGUUGAGAUCGGAAGGAACGCCCGUGGCGAAAGCGAGGUCCUGGACGUCUGCUGACGCUGAGACGCGAAAGCCAGGGGAGCGAACGGG
rnacentral:rRNA from 1 species